rnacentral:tRNA from 1 species
CGCCGAUGGUCGACGGCGGCUACGACGUCGCGGACUACCGCUCGGUGGAUCCGACGUUCGGCACGCUCGCCGACGCC